AGCAGCCGCGGUAAUUCCAGCUCCAAUAGCGUAUAUUAAAGUUGUUGCAGUUAAAAAGCUCGUAGUUGAAUUUCGGGAUCAAUAUAUCGGUCGUGCCUUGGUACGUACUGGUAUCAUUGGUUUCUCCUUUCUGACGAACCAUGAUGUCAUUAAUUUGGUGUUAUGGGAAGUUAGGACUGUUACUUUGAAAAAAUUAGAGUGUUUAAAGCAGGCUUUAGCUUGAAUACAUUAGCAUGGAAUAAUGAAAUAGGACGUUCGAACCUAUUUUGUUGGUUUCUAGGAUCAACGUAAUGAUUAAUAGGGAUAGUUGGGGGCAUUAGUAUUCAAUUGUCAGAGGUGAAAUUCUUGGAUUUAUUGAAGACUAACUACUGCGAAAGCAUUUGUCAAGGAUGUUUUCAUUAAUCAAGAACGAAAGUUAGGGGAUCGAAGACGAUCAGAUACCGUCGUAGUCUUAACCAUAAACUAUGCCGACUAGGGAUCGGAUGAUGUUAAUUUUUUAAUGACUCAUUCGGCGCCUUACG
rnacentral:rRNA from 1 species